GGCGCAGACAUCUUUGUUGUGGGCGAAGCGAACUGACCCGAGGCCACCCUGCCUUGACAACUGCUCGGUGUGGGAACCAUGGGUAGAGGAAGAAUGGAGAUGACCAUAGGGAAAGAAGAAGCAAUGAGGAACAGUUCAUCAGAUCUGAUUGAGAUAAUCAAAAAAGAUAAAGU